AUUGAACGCUGGCGGCAGGACUACCACAUGCAAGUCGAACGAGUGGCGGUCUUGGGAGUAAUGUCUGCGAAACUGCCCGCGGGAGGGGGAUAACUACUAGCAACGGUAGCUAAUACCGCAUCCCAUUGGCUGUGCCCAAAUGGGAUUAGCUGGUGGGGGGGGUAACGGCUCACCUAGGCCAAGACCCCUAGCUGGUCUGAGAGGAUGACCGGCCAAAGUGGAAUUGAGACACGGUCCAGACUCCUACGGGAGGCAGCAGGGGGGAAUAUUGCACAAUGGGCGCAAGCCUGAUGCAGCCAUGCCGCGUGUAUGAAGAAGGCCUUCGGGUUGUAAAGUACUUUCAGCGAGGAGGCGUUACUCGCAGAAAAAGGACCGGCUAACUCCGUGCCAGCAGCCGCGGUAAUAC
rnacentral:rRNA from 1 species